rnacentral:rRNA from 1 species
UACAGAGGGUGCAAGCGUUGCUCGGAAUUACUGGGCGUAAAGGGUGCGUAGGCGGUUCGUUAAGUCUGUCGUGAAAUCCCCGGGCUCAACCUGGGAAUGGCGAUGGAUACUGGCGAGCUAGAGUGUGUCAGAGGAUGGUGGAAUUCCCGGUGUAGCGGUGAAAUGCGUAGAGAUCGGGAGGAACAUCAGUGGCGAAGGCGGCCAUCUGGGACAACACUGACGCUGAAGCACGAAAGCGUGGGGAGCAAACAGG